rnacentral:rRNA from 1 species
CAAGCGAGGGCGAAGCCCGAAGCAGCCCGCCGCGCGUGUGAAGAAGGCCCCCGGGCCGAAAGCACCCCCGCCAGGAGGAGAGGCCAGCAGCCAACACCCGCCAGCCGCGACGCCACCGACAGAAGGAGCACCGGCUAACCCCGUGCCAGCAGCCGCGGCAACACGGAGGGUGCGAGCGCUAAUCGGAACCACUGGGCGCAAAGCGUACGCAGGCGGUCCGUUAAGCGAGAUGUGAAAGCCCCGGGCUCAACCUGGGAACUGCAUUUCGAACUGGCAAACUAGAGUGUGAUAGAGGGUGGUAGAAUCUCAGGUGUAGCGGUGAAAUGCGUAGAGAUCUGAAGGAAUACCGAUGGCGAAGGCAGCCACCUGGGUCAACACUGACGCUCAUGUACGAAA